rnacentral:lncRNA from 1 species
UUUUGCCUGGUCAAGAAAUACUGCAAAGGAGUGAAAGGUCAUAUUUUCAUAUGGUUUUGAGGGUCAGAGUAAGAACUUUUUUCUUUCAGCAAGAUGGGGAGCCACUGGAGGAAUAUGAGCAGGAGUAUGACAUGAUUUUACUUGCUUUUUAGUAGAAUGACUGUGGGCCUGAGGUUGGUGGUAGACUUACGAAGGAGCAAGGACAGAGGCAGGAGAGAGCUGGAAGACUACGCUAAUCCACAUGAGAGAGAAGGUGCAUUAGACCAGGAUAGCAGCAGCAGCAGAGCGAAGAGAGCUUGUCUGACAACAGCAACGACUGCAAAUAUCCUUAUUUGAAUUCCCUUGGCUGACAUUGAUGCUACAUCCAUCACUUGAUCUAAAAUCAAUACCCAUGUCUCUAGUCACCUGCUCAGAGAUGUUAUUCAUUAAUUUUUAACAGGUGAAAUCUAACUUGUUCUCAUUACAAAUGGAUAAGUAUAGGCUUACACUGCUGGUUUUUUUUUCUUUCUUUCUUUUCUGUCGUAGAGAGCCAGGCUGGCAUGUUUAAAAAGAAAAUGAGCCAAAUGAAACUUAAGCUUCACAUUUUGGCAUGCUUAAAACCCAGCAUGUAAAUAUGGCCCCUGAGAGAAGCAAAGACAAGCUUACAAACAGAUGUUUUCACAAGUAAACCAUUGAUUUUUAACCUUGAAGAGAUAAUAAAGCAAUGUCAGCUUCUCUUUAUCAGCAAGAGAGGGAAGUCAUCUAUCACCCCCAGGGGUUUAUGAUGCUUAUAAAUGAAUGGUGAUGGCAAUGUCAGCGUGACACCUUUGAUACUGCAAACCCUUAGAUCUGUUUGAGGUUGGGAUCUUAUACUGAGAGACCUAACUAGAAGCUGUGUAUUUAUAGAGCUCUCCUGCAGCUGUGGAUACUAAUACAUUUUUCUACAUAUCCUCAAACCCUUUCAGAAUGACAUUGGCUAGAGCAGCUCCUCUAGCUUUCAAAUUAUAGUAUCCAUUGCAAACUUUGCCAGAAGUAUUUAAAAUGGUAUACAUUUUAGGGUAGUUAUUUUUAAAUUUUACAAAAUUAUUUUAUUUAAAAAUUAUCAGAAAGUACUAAUAGACAAACAAAAGCAAUAAUAAAGCAAAAGCAUCUUUAAUCUCACAUCCAGAGGAAGCUAUGAUCCAUUCCUGGGGCAUAUUUUUCUUGGCUAAGAUCGUCAUAUGUGUUUG